rnacentral:rRNA from 1 species
UUUUAUGGAGAGUUUGAUCCUGGCUCAGAGUGAACGCUGGCGGCGUGCCUAAUACAUGCAAGUCGAACGAUGAAGCUUCUAGCUUGCUAGAAGUGGAUUAGUGGCGCACGGGUGAGUAAGGUAUAGUUAAUCUGCCCUACACAAGAGGACAACAGUUGGAAACGACUGCUAAUACUCUAUACUCCUGCUUAACACAAGUUGAGUAGGGAAAGUUUUUCGGUGUAGGAUGAGACUAUAUAGUAUCAGCUAGUUGGUAAGGUAAUGGCUUACCAAGGCUAUGACGCUUAACUGGUCUGAGAGGAUGAUCAGUCACACUGGAACUGAGACACGGUCCAGACUCCUACGGGAGGCAGCAGUAGGGAAUAUUGCGCAAUGGGGGAAACCCUGACGCAGCAACGCCGCGUGGAGGAUGACACUUUUCGGAGCGUAA